GACCGAUAGUGAACCAGUACUGUGAAGGAAAGGUGAAAAGUACCCCGAACAGGGGAGUGAAAUAGAACCUGAAACCGUUCGCCUACAAUCGGUCGGAGCCACUUUGUGUGGUGACGUCGUGCCUUUUGCAUAAUGAGCCUACGAGUUACUGAUCACUAGCGAGGUUAAGUGGCGAUAGUCACGGAGCCGAAGCGAAAGCGAGUCUGAAUAGGGCGUAUAGUUAGUGGUCGUAGACGCGAAACCUUGCGAUCUACCCUUGGCCAAGAUGAAGUUCGGGUAACACCGAAUGGAGGUCUGCACCGAUAAGCGUUGAAAAGCUUCCGGAUGAGCUGAGGGUAGGGGUGAAAGGCUAAUCAAGCUGGGAAAUAGCUCGUACUCCCCGAAAUGCUUUUAGGAGCAGCGUUUUAAUAGUCUACUGGAGGUAGAGCUACUGAUUGGAUGCGGGGGCUUCACCGCCUACCAAAUCCUGACAAACUCCGAAUGCCAGUAGAAUGAUUUAGAGCAGUGAGCGGCUGGGUGCUAAUGUCCGGCCACGAGAGAGGAACAACUCAGACCAGCAGCUAAGGCCCCGAAGAGUAUACUAAGUUGAACUAACGAUGUGCGACUGCAGCGACAGCUAGGAUGUUAGCUUGGAAGCAGCUAUUCAUUUAAAGAGUGCGUAACAGCUCACUAGUCGAGCGGUUGUGCGUGGAUAAUAAACGGGCAUCAAGUAUACCGCCGAAGCUCUGGGAUCUACGGAUCGGUAGGGGAGCAUUCCAUUCGCGUCGAAGUUGUAGCGUGAGCUAUGGUGGAGCGUAUGGAAAAGCAAAUGUAGGCAUAAGUAACGAUAAGGCGGGCGAGAAACCCGCCCACCGCAAGACCAAGGUUUCCUGAUCAACGUUAAUCGGAUCAGGGUUAGUCGGGACCUAAGGAUAAGCCGAAAGGUGAUUUCGAUGGACAAUCGGUUAAUAUUCCGAUACUGAUAUGGACUGCGACGGAGAGACGAAGGGGCGUAAGCCACGCCAACUGACGGAAUAGUUGGUUAAAGGAUGUAGGUAAAUCGGGAGGUUAAGAGCUUUCUGAUGCUGAAAUCCGACAGUACCGCGAGCCUACGGGUGAGCGGAUAGUUGGCCCAAGCGGACUUCCGAGAAAAACUUCUAAGCUUCAGGUUCAUAUCACCCGUACCGUAAACCGACACAGGUGGUCGAGGAGAGUAUCCUAAGGUGCUCGAGUGAUUCACGGUUAAGGAACUAGGCAAAUUAACCCCGUAACUUCGGAAUAAGGGGUCCCAUUGAGAGAUGGGCGCAGCGAAGAGGUCCAGGCGACUGUUUAGCAAAAACACAGGGCUCUGCAAAUUCGAAAGAAGACGUAUAGGGCCUGACACCUGCCCGGUGCUGGAAGGUUAAGAGGGGAUGUCAUCGCAAGAGAAGCAUUGAAUCGAAGCCCCAGUAAACGGCGGCCGUAACUAUAACGGUCCUAAGGUAGCGAAAUUCCUUGUCGGGUAAGUUCCGACCUGCACGAAUGGUGUAACGAUC
rnacentral:rRNA from 1 species